UAAGACACGCUAGCUAAGUUUUAAUCAACUUAUCUUAAACAGUUGUUUCUAUCAAAAUUCAGAUUAUGAUUUAUUUGUUAUCAAUAAAAUAUGAUUCAUUAAAGUUAGAUUGAAGUCUUGCACAAGGUCACAUAAUGAGCAUACAAUCUGGUCUACUAGCUGUAUGAUAAAAUAAUUAUUCUAUCAUGCUUCAAUACAGCUCUAAAACAAUAGAUCUACUUUGCUCAUUCUUUUC
rnacentral:lncRNA from 1 species